rnacentral:tRNA from 1 species
GCCCACGUAGCUCAGUCGGUAGAGCGCAUCCUUGGUAAGGAUGAGGUCACCAGUUCAAAUCUGGUCGUGGGCUCCA